CUACACAUGCAAGUCGAGCGGUAGAGAGAAGCUUGCUUCUCUUGAGAGCGGCGGACGGGUGAGUAAUGCCUAGGAAUCUGCCUGGUAGUGGGGGAUAACGUUCGGAAACGAACGCUAAUACCGCAUACGUCCUACGGGAGAAAGCAGGGGACCUUCGGGCCUUGCGCUAUCAGAUGAGCCUAGGUCGGAUUAGCUAGUUGGUGAGGUAAUGGCUCACCAAGGCGACGAUCCGUAACUGGUCUGAGAGGAUGAUCAGUCACACUGGAACUGAGACACGGUCCAGACUCCUACGGGAGGCAGCAGUGGGGAAUAUUGGACAAUGGGCGAAAGCCUGAUCCAGCCAUGCCGCGUGUGUGAAGAAGGUCUUCGGAUUGUAAAGCACUUUAAGUUGGGAGGAAGGGCCAUUACCUAAUACGUGAUGGUUUUGACGUUACCGACAGAAUAAGCACCGGCUAACUCUGUGCCAGCAGCCGCGGUAAUACAGAGGGUGCAAGCGUUAAUCGGAAUUACUGGGCGUAAAGCGCGCGUAGGUGGUUUGUUAAGUUGGAUGUGAAAGCCCCGGGCUCAACCUGGGAACUGCAUUCAAAACUGACAAGCUAGAGUAUGGUAGAGGGUGGUGGAAUUUCCUGUGUAGCGGUGAAAUGCGUAGAUAUAGGAAGGAACACCAGUGGCGAAGGCGACCACCUGGACUGAUACUGACACUGAGGUGCGAAAGCGUGGGGAGCAAACAGGAUUAGAUACCCUGGUAGUCCACGCCGUAAACGAUGUCAACUAGCCGUUGGGAGCCUUGAGCUCUUAGUGGCGCAGCUAACGCAUUAAGUUGACCGCCUGGGGAGUACGGCCGCAAGGUUAAAACUCAAAUGAAUUGACGGGGGCCCGCACAAGCGGUGGGAGCA
rnacentral:rRNA from 2 species